GAUGAACGCUAGCUACAGGCUUAACACAUGCAAGUCGAGGGGAAACGAUAUUGGAAGCUUGCUUCCGAUAGGCGUCGACCGGCGCACGGGUGAGUAACGCGUAUCCAACCUGCCCACCACUUGGGGAUAACCUUGCAAAAGUAAGACUAAUACCCAAUGACGUCCAUAGAAGACAUCUGAAAUGGAUUAAAGAUUUAUCGGUGAUGGAUGGGGAUGCGUCUGAUUAGCUUGUUGGCGGGGUAACGGCCCACCAAGGCGACGAUCAGUAGGGGUUCUGAGAGGAAGGUCCCCCACAUUGGAACUGAGACACGGUCCAAACGCCUACGGGAGGCAGCAGUGAGGAAUAUUGGUCAAUGGGCGAGAGCCUGAACCAGCCAAGUAGCGUGCAGGAUGACGGCCCUAUGGGUUGUAAACUGCUUUUAUAAGGGAAUAAAGUGAGUCUCGUGAGGCUUUUUGCAUGUACCUUAUGAAUAAGGACCGGCUAAUUCCGUGCCAGCCGCCGCGGUAA
rnacentral:rRNA from 1 species